GGCAAGGGCUGUUCUCUACUCUAGCUUUGACUUCACUUCUCUUUAGCACUUCCUCAAUCUGUUUCUCUUUCAGUUCACAGCUUCUCUUUAUCGCUAUCUUUGCUUUUAUUUCUUUCUAGAGCUGAGGCUCAUCCUGAAGAUUCUUCCCCCAAGAUGAAAAAUCUGAUUGGAUCUUUGUCCCGCCAUCCAAAACGAAGCAUCUCUAUUGGUCAGAGGACUCACAGGCCACCUGAUAGUUUUGUGGUCCACUUUGUGGCUUGUCUUUGGCAUGGCCAGUGGCCCUGAUCCAGACAGGGAGGAAAGUCACCCGACUCAGGACUGUUUUCUGGAUAGAAGGAAGGACCGGGGAGUUUUCUCCCUAAAGACACACUGGCUGACUUAAGGUCUAGUAUGGUACAUGUGUCGAUUAAAGCCCCUCUACUUUUAAUUUAGGUAUCAGUAAGUGAAAAUAAAGGCACAAGUUACUUUUAAAUUAUAUUUUUUAAAAAAUAAAUAAAAUGUAACACAUUUUUCACAUGGUUUGGAAAUUCAAAUAGUUUAUUAUUUAUUCAUUUACCAUAGCUUAUAAGUAUAAGGCGGGGAGAAAGUUUUGGUUCAAACAAAUAAAUUAAAAUGGUCCUAGAUAUGGAGCAGGAACCUGACUAAAAGCUUUGCAGAGAUUGUUAAAUGCUUUAUUACCAACAAUAGAGCAAUACGCUCCACGAGAAUACAAAAAUAAUGCGAGCCACAUAAGUGACUUGGAAUUUUCUAGUAACUACAUUUAAAAAGACAAUGAUGAACCAGGCAAGGUGGCACACAUCUGUAAUUCCAGUGACUUGGGAGGUUGAAGCAGGAGGAUCAUAAGUUGUAGGUCAGCCUGGGCAACUUAGCAAGACUCUGUCUCAGAAUAAAAACUAAAAAGGAGUGGGAUUGUAACACAGUGGUAGAGCACCUCUUCAGUUUCUAGUACCAACAAAUACUUUAUUAAUUAAUUUACUUAUUUUAAUUAGGUCUAUAUGACAGCAGAAUGCAUUUUUAGUUUUUAAUAUAAUCCACCAUAUGCAAAUAUGAGUUCACAAGUACUCAAUAUAAAAAAAUAUUAACAUGACAUUUUAACAUGUCUUUGAAUUGUGGUGUGUUUUACACUUACAGCCCAUUUUCAAUUCAGCCUUGCCACAUUCCAAGGCUUCAUGGCCAUAUAUGACCAGUGAUCGUCAUAUUGGACAUGGAGGACUAGAACCUUAAGUUAAUAAAUGGCCAUCCUACAAUUAGCCCACAAAGUGGAACUCCAACUCAUCCAUUUUCCCCAGUGAUGCUGAACACACGUAUUUCCCAUUUCUUCUGCAAGCUACCCUCUGACUCCAGCCCCUGGGCUCUUUCUCUACCAACUCUGCUCAUUCCGCAAAUGAUCUCAGUGGAGAGGCAGCUGCCUCUGUAGAGUCAAGGGCACAUUACUUCUCAGCUUCACCCCGACUUCACCCCUUCAGUGACCUCACACUGUUUCCUUGAAGCUGGCCAAGGUGGGCUUGUUUACACCACGAAACCAACAAUAUGAAUCAGCUAUACAGUUGUAUACUCCAAAUUGGCCAGGACCUGUGUCCUCAGCAGUCAAUUCCACGUGCUCUAAGGACAAGAAAGUAAACAAUGUGUACUGAAGUGGAAUGGGGAUCAAAGAGGAAGGAUACAUAAAUAUUAAAGAAAAAUAAUGGGAAAAGAGAGAGAGAAAUGGAAGGGAAGAAGAACAGAGGCUCCAAAGAAGAAAACAGAAAGAGAGGAGAAAGAAUGGGGACCAAGAGAAGUGGAGACAAGCAGGAUGCAAGGCAAGAACAGGAAGGACGUGGAGACAGAAGAACAGAGAAAAUAAAGGCUCAAGUUGAACAGGGGAGCACGAGGGAAGAGUGGAGCAGAAGAGGGGGAGCCCGGGGCUUCUCACCACCCCCCAGGGGCAGUUUUUCUUAUAACCUCAUUAAUGAGCUUCUUAGCGUUGAUCUUAGGGAGAGGUGGAGACCAUGUCAGCAUGAGGAAUUCCCCUUGGUUUCCUUGUUUGCCUCCCAACCACAUAUCUUUAUUUUGAUUAUAACUGAAAAAAAAUAUACUGAAUCAUGCCAAGAUAUUUUCCAGUACAUCCAAUGCUCUGCGAGAGCCAGCUUAUUCCAGUUCAUGAG
rnacentral:lncRNA from 1 species